AUUGAACGCUGGCGGCAGGCCUAACACAUGCAAGUCGAGCGGAGCGGCGGACGGGUGAGUAAUGCCUAGGAAUCUGCCUGGUAGUUGGGGAUAACGUCCGGAAACGGGCGCUCAUACCGCAUACUCUCAGAUGAGCCUAGGUCGGAUUAGCUCGUUGGUGGGGUAAAGGCCUACCAAGGCGACGAUCCGUAACUGGUCUGAGAGGAUGAUCAGUCCUACUGGGACUGAGACACGGUCCAGACUCCUACGGGAGGCAGCAGUGGGGAAGAUUGGACGAUGGACGAAAUCCUGAUCCAGCCAGGCCGCGUGUGUGAAGAAGGUCUUCGGAGUGUAAAGCACUUUAAGUUGGGAGGCGUUACCAACAGAAUAAGCACCGGCUAACUUCGUGCCAGCAGCCGCGGUAAUUC
rnacentral:rRNA from 1 species